UUGGCCUAGUGGUUAGAGUAUCCGCCUCAGAUGCAGGAAGCUGUGGGUUCGAUCCCCGGUAGAU